UGAAACCGUGUGCUUACAAGUAGUCAGAGCCCGUUAAUGGGUGAUGGCGUGCCUUUUGUAGAAUGAACCGGCGAGUUACGAUCUGAUGCAAGGUUAAGCAGAAAAUGUGGAGCCGUAGCGAAAGCGAGUCUGAAUAGGGCGAAUGAGUAUUUGGUCGUAGACCCGAAACCAGGUGAUCUACCCUUGGUCAGGUUGAAGUUCAGGUAACACUGAAUGGAGGACCGAACCGACUUACGUUGAAAAGUGAGCGGAUGAACUGAGGGUAGCGGAGAAAUUCCAAUCGAACUUGGAGAUAGCUGGUUCUCUCCGAAAUAGCUUUAGGGCUAGCCUCAAGUGAUGAUUAUUGGAGGUAGAGCACUGUUUGGACGAGGGGCCCCUCUCGGGUUACCGAAUUCAGACAAACUCCGAAUGCCAAAUAAUUUAACUUGGGAGUCAGAAUGUGGGUGAUAAGGUCCAUAUUCGAAAGGGAAACAGCCCAGACCACCAGCUAAGGUCCCAAAAUAUAUGUUAAGUGGAAAAGGAUGUGGCGUUGCCCAGACAACUAGGAUGUUGGCUUAGAAGCAGCCAUCAUUUAAAGAGUGCGUAAUAGCUCACUAGUCGAGUGACACUGCGCCGAAAAUGUACCGGGGCUAAACAUAUUACCGAAGCUGUGGAUUGUCCAUUGGACAAUGGUAGGAGAGCGUUCUAAGGGCGUUGAAGCAUGAUCGCAAGGACAUGUGGAGCGCUUAGAAGUGAGAAUGCCGGUGUGAGUAGCGAAAGACGGGUGAGAAUCCCGUCCACCGAUUGACUAAGGUUUCCAGAGGAAGGCUCGUCCGCUCUGGGUUAGUCGGGUCCUAAGCUGAGGCCGACAGGCGUAGGCGAUGGAUAACAGGUUGAUAUUCCUGUACCACCAUUAUUCGUUUUAAGCGAUGGGGGGGACGCAGUAGGAUAGGCGAAGCGUGCUGUUGGAGUGCACGUCCAAGCAGUGAGAU
rnacentral:rRNA from 1 species